GGGUUAGCCAAAAAGUUCGUUCGGGUUUUUCCGUACCCGCAUAUGGAAAAGCUUGAACAAACUCUUUGGCCAAUCCA
ensembl:miRNA